AUGCCCAAACAGUUAGAACUUCUAAUUUUAAAAAUGUAUCUUUCCAGAAAUAAGUCUCUCACUGUUGCCGCCUGUUAUAGACACCCCUCAGCUCCCAGCUGUGCCCUGGACACCAUAUGUGAAUUGAUUGCCCCCCAUCUAUCUUCAGAGUUCCUUCUGUUAGGUGACCUAAACUGGGAUAUGCUUAACACCCCGGCAGUCCUACAAUCUAAGCUAGAUGCCCUCAAUCUCACACAAAUUAUCAAGGAACCCACCAGGUACAGCCCUAAAUCCGUAAACAUGGGCAUCCUCAUAGAUAUUAUCCUGACCAACUUGCCCUCCAAAUUCAACUCUGCUGUUUUCAAUCAGGAUCUCAGCGAUCACUGCCUCAUUGCCUGCAUCCACUAUGGAUCCGCGUUCAAACGGCCACCCCUCAUCAUUGUCAAACACUCCCUAAAACACUUCUGCGAGCAGGCCUUUCUAAUCGACCUGGCCCGGGUAUCCUGGAAGGAUAUUGACCUCAUCCUGUCGGUAGAGCAUGCCUGGUCAUUCUUUAAAAGUAAUUUCCUCACCAUCUUAAAUAAGCAUGUCCCUUUCAAAAAAUGUAGAACUAAGAACAGAUUUUGCCCUUGGUUCACUCUAGACCUGAUUUCCCUCGAACAGCACAAAAACAUCCUGUGGAAGACUGCACUAGCAUCGAAUAGUCCCGCGAUAUGCAACUUUUCAGGGAAGUCAGGAACCAAUACACGCAGUCAGUCAAGAAAGCAAAGGCUAGCUUUUUCAAACAGAAAUUUGCGUCCUGUAGCUAACUCCAAAAGGUUUUGGGACACUGUAAAGUCCAUGGAGAAUAAGAGCACCUCCUUCCAGCUGCCCAAUGCACUGAGGCUAGGAAACACUGUCACCACCGAUAAAUCCACGAUAAUCGAGAAUUUCAAUAAGCAUUUCUCUACAGCUGGCCAUGACUUCCUACUGGCUAACCCAACCCCGCCCAACAGCUCUGCACCCCCCGCAGCUACUUCCCAAGCCUCCCCAGCUUCUCCUUCACCCAAAUCCAGAUAG
rnacentral:lncRNA from 13 species